UUGCGCCCCGCCCCGCGGGCCAGCGGGGAGCCCACGUGUACUGCUGAGUUCCAGGAGGGCGCACCCGGAUUGGGGAGCGCGGUUUGGGGAAUCCGGAGCCAAGGAGGCGAGGACCUGAACAAUCUCCGUACAGGCUGCACACCUAAUUCCGACAUUUUACGUCAGCUAAAAGUGUGGGGAGGACUUGGAAAAGUCUGAGCAUCGUUAAAUCUGCGGAUGCUGGCGUUGACGGAACGCGGCCAGGCACCCUUCCUGUAGUUGGGAGUGUAUCUCUCGUGUUUGUGUAGCCGGUGUCUGGCACUUUCAACAUCUGAAAUGUUGGAUCCACAGCGGCACAGUCAAGCACACAGGCCCCAGAACCCGACCACCUGGGUUCACAUCCCAACGUUGUAUAACCUUGAGAAGGAAAGAGACUUUGAUCUUCCUUAGAAGUAGAUUCUGGUCGCUUCUGUGCCUGGGCAGCAUUAGACCAGAGGCAGUGGGUGAACGCAGUACCGAGCAGGUGUAGAGGCGCACAGAGGAAAGACCAUUGGAGGGCACAGUGAGAAGAUGGCCGUCUGCAAGCCAGAAGGAGACUUCUCACCAGACAACUCUGACACCUUAAUCUUGGACUUCUAGCCUCCAGAGUUAUGAGAACACGUUUCUGGUUUUUAAGCCACCCAUUUUGUAGUAUGUUGUUAGUCCAAACUGACCAGUACAAAGUUUCACUGUAUGUUUACUUAAAAGAAAAGCCUCCAAACCCAAGUUGUCCAGAUCAGCCCUGAUCAGAAGAACUUUCUGUGAAGGUGGAAAUAUUCUGUAUAUGCUCUGCCCAACACAGUAGUCACCAGCUACACGUGGCUAAUGAGGACUUGAAAUUCAGCCAGUGCAGGGGCACCUGGGUGGCUCAGUCAGUUGAGCGUCUGACUUCAGCUCAGGUCAUGAUCUCACAGUUUGAGCUCAAGCCCCACAUCGGGCUGUGUG